GUUUGAUCCUGGCUCAGAUUGAACGCUGGCGGCAGGCCUAACACAUGCAAGUCGAGCGGUAGCACAGAGAGCUUGCUCUCGGGUGACGAGCGGCGGACGGGUGAGUAAUGUCUGGGAAACUGCCUGAUGGAGGGGGAUAACUACUGGAAACGGUAGCUAAUACCGCAUAACGUCGCAAGACCAAAGUGGGGGACCUUCGGGCCUCAUGCCAUCAGAUGUGCCCAGAUGGGAUUAGCUAGUAGGUGGGGUAACGGCUCACCUAGGCGACGAUCCCUAGCUGGUCUGAGAGGAUGACCAGCCACACUGGAACUGAGACACGGUCCAGACUCCUACGGGAGGCAGCAGUGGGGAAUAUUGCACAAUGGGCGCAAGCCUGAUGCAGCCAUGCCGCGUGUGUGAAGAAGGCCUUCGGGUUGUAAAGCACUUUCAGCGGGGAGGAAGGCGGUGAGGUUAAUAACCUCAUCGAUUGACGUUACCCGCAGAAGAAGCACCGGCUAACUCCGUGCCAGCAGCCGCGGUAAUACGGAGGGUGCAAGCGUUAAUCGGAAUUACUGGGCGUAAAGCGCACGCAGGCGGUCUGUCAAGUCGGAUGUGAAAUCCCCGGGCUCAACCUGGGAACUGCAUUCGAAACUGGCAGGCUAGAGUCUUGUAGAGGGGGGUAGAAUUCCAGGUGUAGCGGUGAAAUGCGUAGAGAUCUGGAGGAAUACCGGUGGCGAAGGCGGCCCCCUGGACAAAGACUGACGCUCAGGUGCGAAAGCGUGGGGAGCAAACAGGAUUAGAUACCCUGGUAGUCCACGCUGUAAACGAUGUCGAUUUGGAGGUUGUGCCCUUGAGGCGUGGCUUCCGGAGCUAACGCGUUAAAUCGACCGCCUGGGGAGUACGGCCGCAAGGUUAAAACUCAAAUGAAUUGACGGGGGCCCGCACAAGCGGUGGAGCAUGUGGUUUAAUUCGAUGCAACGCGAAGAACCUUACCUGGUCUUGACAUCCACAGAACUUUCCAGAGAUGGAUUGGUGCCUUCGGGAACUGUGAGACAGGUGCUGCAUGGCUGUCGUCAGCUCGUGUUGUGAAAUGUUGGGUUAAGUCCCGCAACGAGCGCAACCCUUAUCCUUUGUUGCCAGCGGUCCGGCCGGGAACUCAAAGGAGACUGCCAGUGAUAAACUGGAGGAAGGUGGGGAUGACGUCAAGUCAUCAUGGCCCUUACGACCAGGGCUACACACGUGCUACAAUGGCAUAUACAAAGAGAAGCGACCUCGCGAGAGCAAGCGGACCUCAUAAAGUAUGUCGUAGUCCGGAUUGGAGUCUGCAACUCGACUCCAUGAAGUCGGAAUCGCUAGUAAUCGUAGAUCAGAAUGCUACGGUGAAUACGUUCCCGGGCCUUGUACACACCGCCCGUCACACCAUGGGAGUGGGUUGCAAAAGAAGUAGGUAGCUUAACCUUCGGGAGGGCGCUUACCACUUUGUGAUUCAUGACUGGGGUGAAGUCGUAACAAGGUAACCGUA
rnacentral:rRNA from 1 species